AUACGUAGGUGACAAGCGUUAUCCGGAUUUACUGGGCGUAAAGGGCGUGUAGGCGGUCUUGCAAGUCAGAAGUGAAAUUCCUGAGCUCAACUCGGGCGCUGCUUCUGAAACUGCAGGACUUGAGUGCUGGAGGGGAUAGCGGAAUUCCUAGUGGAGCGGUAAAAUGCGCAGAUAUUAGGAAGAACACCGGUGGCGAAGGCGGCUAUCUGGACAGUAACUGACGCUGAGGCGCGAAAGCGUGGGGAGCAAACAGGAUUAGAUACCCUGGUAGUCCACGCCCUAAACGAUGAAUGCUAGGUGUAGGGGAGUCAUCUUCUGUGCCGCAGCUAACGCAAUAAGCAUUCCACCUGGGGAGUACGGCCGCAAGGUUGAAACUUAAAGGAAUUGACGGGG
rnacentral:rRNA from 1 species